AUAAAUACCCACCCAUCCACCCACACACUUACACAUCCACACACAGAUAGCAAAAAUGCACUUCCCUUCAUCAACAUCAUCAUCUUCUCUUAUCACCGCCAUUUUCUGCUUGCUCUUGGUUAUAGCCUCCCUGUUCCUUCCAGGAGCGUAUGGCGAUUGUGCAAGCCGUGUGUGGGGAAGCCAUUCUCCUGGUGGUGGAGGUUGGAAACACCGGGGACAUCCUUGAAAAGAAAACAUGUCGGUUGUUCCGAAUGCCAUCAAGCCAAGAACUUCGUGUUUCUCAUGAUCGUGAUAUAUAUGUAAUAUGUCAUAAUACUCUUGGUAUGUUCUAGAUGUAGUAGAAUUACGUCAGUUCUCUGUAUUCCGCAAAUCAUCUUCCAUACAUUCUCAUGUGUAGACUCGUCUUGACAAUAGUAAAAUAUAAAGAGAUGAGUUUCACAGUUUAA